UACGUAGGGGGCAAGCGUUAUCCGGAUUUACUGGGUGUAAAGGGAGCGUAGACGGUGCAGCAAGUCUGAUGUGAAAGGUCGGGGCCCAACCCCGGGACUGCAUUGGAAACUGUUGAACUGGAGUACAGGAGAGGUAAGCGGAAUUCCUAGUGUAGCGGUGAAAUGCGUAGAUAUUAGGAGGAACACCAGUGGCGAAGGCGGCUUACUGGACGAUGACUGACGCUGAUGCACGAAAGCGUGGGGAUCGAACAGG
rnacentral:rRNA from 1 species